AAUGAACGCUGGCGGCAUGCCUAACACAUGCAAGUCGAACGAACCCUCCGGGUCUUGUCGCUCCUGGGUGUGUCACGCGUGGGAACCUGCCCUCAGGUUCGGCAUACCUCUCCGACAGGGGUGCUAACACCGGAUCAUGUCUUCUGCCCAAAGAUUUAUUGACGUUGGUUGGUCCCGCGUUGGAUUAGCUAGUUGGUAGGGUAAAAGCUUACCAAGGCGACGAUCCAUAGCUUGUUUGAGAGGCUGCUCAGCCACUCUGAGACUGAGACACGGCCCAGACUCCUACGGGAGGCAGCAGAGGGUAAUAUUGGACAAUGGGCGGAAGGCUGAACCAGCAAUGCCGCGUAAGUGAUGAAGGCCUUAGGGUAGUAAAGCUCUUUUACCCGGGAAGAUAAUGACGGUACCGGAAGAAUAAGCCCCGGCUAACUCCGUG
rnacentral:rRNA from 1 species